GGUGCCGUAGCUCAGACGGCAGAGCGCUUCCCUGUCACGGAAGAGGUCACGGGUUCAAGCCCCGUCGGUGCCG
rnacentral:tRNA from 1 species